GUACUCGCUUUGGCAGCACAUAUACUAAAGUUGGAAUGAUACAGAGAAGAUUGGCAUGGUCCCUGCACAAGGAUGAUGUGCAAAUUUGUGAAGUAUUCCAUAUGUAA